rnacentral:rRNA from 1 species
AAACAGGAUUAGAUACCCUGGUAGUCCACGCCGUAAACGAUGUCGAUUUGGAGGUUGUGCCCUUGAGGCGUGCUUCCGGAGCUAACGCGUUAAAUCGACGCCUGGGGAGUACGGCCGCAAGGUUAAAACUCAAAUGAAUUGACGGGGGCCCGCACAAGCGGUGGAGCAUGUGGUUUAAUUCGAUGCAACGCGAAGAACCUUACCUGGUCUUGACAUCCACAGAACUUUCCAGAGAUGGAUUGGUGCCUUCGGGAACUGUGAGACAGGUGCUGCAUGGCUGUCGUCAGCUCGUGUUGUGAAAUGUUGGGUUAAGUCCCGCAACGAGCGCAACCCUUAUCCUUUGUUGCCAGCGGU